AACGGUCUAUACCUGCGGUACCUGCGGAAGGAUCAUUACCGAGUUAGGGUCUUUUGGCCCGACCUCCAACCCUUUGUUUAUUAUACCAUGUUGCUUUGGUGGGCCUGCCUUUCGGGGCUGCCGGGGGCAUCACUGCCCCUGACUCGUGCCUGCCAGGAGCCUUCUUAAAUUCAGUGUUCAACGGUGCUGUCUGAGUCCCAGUAUCAAAAUAUCAAAAACUUUUAGCAAUGGAUCUCUAGA
rnacentral:misc_RNA from 1 species